GGAAGAAAGAUGUUUUAGAACACUGCUUAGUCAAUGUUCUAGCCGUGAUUUGUGAGACUGCAUUCAGGGGCCAAGUGAAGCGCUUCUGUGGAGAACCCCUUUACAGCCAUAUGGCAAGAUGAAGAUAGACUCAGAUCACAGUUCUGUUAACAGCAAAGACUUAAUCAUUGCCUGGUCAAUGUGUUUGGAUACAAUAAAAGACCCUUGUUUUUACCUGUGUGUGACAGUGCAUCAACCUGAAAGAACAGGAAAAGCUGCUGCGGUGAGAAACUUGACAUCCAAGGGAUGUACCAUGUGCAAGUUUACAAGUUGUUGGAUUUCAAAUGGCAUGAGAGGAAGCCCUGUGGGCUGGAAGUUGACAUGUCAUUCUGUAGCCCUUUGCCUGACAUUCUUUAAACAUCUGCUCACACGCAAAAGACACUGUUCUCCAAAUUAUUAUUUUACCUCCAGGCUAGUAACAGUAUCAUCUUCCUGAAUGACACCUCCACCACAUCCACUCUUGUCAGGAAGAAGCCUUUUUAAUUCUCCAAAGCUCAAAGCCCACGAUGUUCUAUACAGUGACCUUGAAGGACUGAUCACCCCUUCGUACUUGCCAACUACAGAUUCAUUUCUAUUGUUCAGUCCAGAGGAAACUGUCAAGGAACUAUGGAUUCAUGUAAGUCUCUCUGAUGGGCUAAGGCACUUUAAAUUUAUUCGCAGAUGAAUUUGUUGAUGACUAAUAUUGUGAUGAGAAUUAUAGAACAUGAGGCUAUUUAAAAUUCUACUAGAAAACGUGUGCAGAACAUCAGGAGAGAUGAAUGGAUUUGCCUCCAUGUAAUAACUGCAAAAUUAUUAAAGAAAAAAAUAGAUGUUAAACUGUUCUAUUUUGUUAACUAACCAAGAGAAAAAGAGCCAAAGACUGAAUUUGAGGAUUGGCCUCAAACAGUUUCCUGUAAUGAAAAUUAGGAUGAGAGAGAAGCAAUCCAAACGCGAUGAGAACCAACUUUUAUUUAAAUAAAGUUGUUGAAAGCUGAGAG
rnacentral:lncRNA from 13 species